GUGAAUUAAACAUGCUUGGUGUCUUCGCUUCGGCAAGGCCCUUGCUUAAAUCACAUCCUAACACCUGUGAACUGUAAGACGUAUGAUGAGGUCUUUGGCCAAGUCAUCGUCUGCCCAUUUUUAACAAACAAUUAAUGUAACAAACGUAGUCUUAUUAUAACCUAAUG
rnacentral:misc_RNA from 1 species